AUUGAACGCUGGCGGCAGGCUUAACACAUGCAAGUCGAGCGGGGGAAGGUAGCUUGCUACCGGACCUAGCGGCGGACGGGUGAGUAAUGCUUAGGAAUCUGCCUAUUAGUGGGGGACAACAUCUCGAAAGGGAUGCUAAUACCGCAUACGUCCUACGGGAGAAAGCAGGGGAUCUUCGGACCUUGCGCUAAUAGAUGAGCCUAAGUCGGAUUAGCUAGUUGGUGGGGUAAAGGCCUACCAAAGCGACGAUCUGUAGCGGGUCUGAGAGGAUGAUCCGCCACACUGGGACUGAGACACGGCCCAGACUCCUACGGGAGGCAGCAGUGGGGAAUAUUGGACAAUGGGGGGAACCCUGAUCCAGCCAUGCCGCGUGUGUGAAGAAGGCCUUAUGGUUGUAAAGCACUUUAAGCGGGGAGGAGGCUACUCUAGUUAAUACCUAGGGAUAGUGGACGUUACUCGCAGAAUAAGCACCGGCUAACUCUGUGCCAGCAGCCGCCGUAA
rnacentral:rRNA from 1 species